CUGGUGUUUAAUGAUGAUUGUAUUACACAGAGGAGUAACUAAUCCCACAGUGCAUUAUAAACAGAGUUUCUCGUAGCCAACAUCAUCAGUGACGGAGAAAAGAACUUGCAACCUGGACAAAGUACAUUUCUCAAGGUCUCAGGAAGAAAGAGCAGUCUGGACAAGAGGGAAAUCAGCACACAGGGAAGCUGACUUCAAUUUUCUCUUCUACUCUGAUUCAUCAUUGGGCCAAGGGCCCAAGACCAACCAGUUCCCGUGUCUCAUUUCAGAUUUGCAUGAAGAGUCUGAUAAGUUGCUGACCUGACAAUGAAUAGAUCACCCCAUGAUCAGGUGUCUACCUCUGGGUCAAUCAGCUCUGGCCAGGGGUGGGGGUCAUCUGGUACCAAUAUGGCUGUCCAGUCCAUCCUCAGUGGCCAUUCCCAGAGAAUGGGGGGUACAGUAGGGUUCUCAGGAAAUCAUAUUCUUCCUUGCACUCUGAUACAGCCUAACCUUCAGUUGUCACUUUUUUCCAGUGUCUGUGCUACUUCCUUGACUUUAACAUGGAGAUGGUGUCAUACACAGAGUUGUAAUCAAGUGCCUGCUCUUUGGUGGCUGCACUAGUUUCUGGCUGUGCAACCACAAGCAACGACCUAGCCUCUCUGAUCUUCCUUUUUUUUUUUUCACCUAUAAAAUGAAUGUGCCCCAUGGGACUGUCAUAAGGAUUUUUAAAAAGAUCAUGUAUGUAAACUCCUUAUCCUAGGGCCUGGUACAUAGUCAGUGUCAAAUUAAUAUUAGUCAUUAUUAUUACCAUCAUCAUCAUCAUUCAGUCAGGAGGGCCAUUUUCAGAGCUUCAAGUUGAGCACCCAAAUUUAUUCCCAGCCAAGCCCAGCCUCCCCCCAUUUAUUAAAAAACAUAAUCAGCUUGUCAAUAAUUAAAACAUUCACUGUUACUACCCAGAUCCACCCAUCCAGCAUGGUGAGUAGAACAGAUAAAGUCAGUUCUGACCAGAUUCCACCUCCAAAUGGAUAGGCCAAAGAUGCAGUGGAACAUCCUGUGGGGGAAAAGAGGCAUCUUCUCCAGCUUUAUCAUUCCUAGAAGCUGGAGUAGGAUUCCUCAAAAUGAUGGAGAGCUAAAUAAACUAGCAGAGAUGAAAUUCGAAAGGUAAAUCUUAUCCUGUGGCAAGAAGUCUAUUUAGGAGGAAAAUAUUCCCUAAGAGUAGGAGGAUGUUUCAAGGGACUCAUCAAUAAACCUUCAGAAAAAAGAAGAAACUCCCUGCUGAGACUUUGUGGGUUUUGAAGACAUUGCAAAGCAAUCUGGCUACUGGACUGCUCACAUCCUCAAGACCCUAAAGACUAAAUGAUUGAAAAAGAGAUAGAUGGCCAAGGUUACUUGGCACCUUCCUGUAGUUGCUCCUUGUGGAAUGAACUUUGCCUGGAGACGCAACUGAAUAACAUUUCAAAGGAGUUUACAAUCUAAAUCAGAGCAGAAACUUUGGGAGUGGGAAUGGGAAGACACGUAGGCAAGACCACUACCCUGGAUCUUGGAGAACUGAUGUGAGUCCUGACUCUGCAAUGUACCAGUCAGAGACCCUGGGCAAGUAACUCAGCCUCCGUGUAUUAGGAAAGAAUUGAAUAAUAUCAAUGAUUUUUAAGCAUCUCUACCAAGUCCUGCAGUCCCUCUGUAAAUUCAGAGGCCACUGCAGGUCGGGGGGAAGGAUAUUACGGAGUCCACGUAGGAG